AUUAGUCCUGGGGGUGGGGCCGAGUGCCUGCCAGCCAGGUCCGGAGCGCCCCAGGUAAAGAGGUAGAGAUCUUCUAUCAUGCCCACAGCGAUCAGAGCUGGACCAGGCCAAAGCCAGGAGCCAGGGAUCCAAGUCUACCUGAGUAAGUCAACCCACCUGGAAAAAGACAACCAUUCCUGUCCUUCCACACCCGUUACUGCACAGAGCAUGCUGAAGGAUGUCGCUGAAGCCCGUUAAACAAUCAUCACAUGUCUUUUCCCGGAGUUCCAUGAAUCCUAGCCCUGGCUGAGCCCCACCAGGCACUUUGACCUUGAAAAAGAAGAUUGUCAAGGAGAGAUCUUCUCUAUCCACUGGUUCACUUCCCAAAUGCCUACAACAGCUGGGGCUAAGCCAGGAGAAAGCCAGAAGACCAGGACCCCAAUUUAGGUCUCUCAUGUGGAUGACAGAGAACCAAGCACUUGAGCCAACAUGUGCUGUUUCCCAGCAUGCACAGAGCCCACAGAAGGGACCCAGGUGUGAGCACGAGAAGCGAAUGGCAGAGCCUGUCAGUAAAGCCCUGUGUUGUUGCCCAGAGAAGCAGAAAGCACCAGGAUGGAGAGGAGGGGUUCCAGAAGCAGACCCCAUCAAGUUUUAUGGGCUCCUGGGAUGGCUUUCCUGUUGAAUAUGCAUGGAGCUGACCUAAACCGUAUGCCCUGGAGGAUGAAGGGCAUCGCUCACCAUGCAGGUCCCCGACCCGCCACUAGGAGGCACGCGUCUGCCGCAGGUCCCGAGAGCACUGCAAAGGCUCUGAAGGGAACUGGUCUGGAGAACACAACCCACAGGAGGUCACAGCCAAACAGGCUGUCUACUAGCAAAGCGUCUCAAUGUCCAGGAUACAACCCCAAAGUACUUGGCAUAUGAAGGACCAGGAGAUCCCCAUUUACACAGGAAAAAACAAUCAACAGACGCCAGUGCUGAGACUGAAUUAUAAAGCCACUGUUAAAGAAAUGCCGAAAGUGUGAGUACUCUUGGAAUGAAUGAAAAUCUCAAUGAGGAAACAGGAAACAAAGAAGAACCAAAUGGAAAUUUUAAAAUUGAAAAACAAAGCAACCGGGGCCAGCACCAUGGUGUAGUAGGUUAAUCCUCCACCUGCACUGGCAUCCCAUAUGGGCACCAGUUCUGGUCUCAACUGCCCCUCUUCCAGUCCAGCUCUCUUCUGUGGCCUGGGAAAGCAGUAGAAGAUGGCCCAAGACCUUGAAUCCCUGCACUCACGUGGUAGACUGGGAAGAAGCUCCUGGCUCCUGGCUUCGGAUCAGCAUAGCUCCGGCUGUUGUGUCCAUUUGGGGAAUAAACCAACAGAAGGAAGACUUUUCUCUCUGUCUCUCCCUCUC